rnacentral:tRNA from 1 species
AGUAAGAUAAGCUAAAUAAAGCUAGUGGGUUCAUACCCCAAAUAUGAAGAAAUUCUCUUACUA